GAUGAACGCUGGCGGCGUGCCUAAUACAUGCAAGUCGAGCGAACAGACGAGGAGCUUGCUCCUCUGACGUUAGCGGCGGACGGGUGAGUAACACGUGGAUAACCUCCCUAUAAGACUGGGAUAACUUCGGGAAACCGGAGCUAAUACCGGAUAACAUGUUGAACCGCAUGGUUCAACAGUGAAAGACGGUCUUGCUGUCACUUAUAGAUGGAUCCGCGCCGCAUUAGCUAGUUGGUAAGGUAACGGCUUACCAAGGCAACGAUGCGUAGCCGACCUGAGAGGGUGAUCGGCCACACUGGAACUGAGACACGGUCCAGACUCCUACGGGAGGCAGCAGUAGGGAAUCUUCCGCAAUGGGCGAAAGCCUGACGGAGCAACGCCGCGUGAGUGAAGAAGGUCUUCGGAUCGUAAAACUCUGUUAUUAGGGAAGAACAAAUGUGUAAGUAACUAUGCACGUCUUGACGGUACCUAAUCAGAAAGCCACGGCUAACUACGUG
rnacentral:rRNA from 1 species